UGUCAUAUGAUGAGAUAAAGUUUACAGCCCCAGUCUGAUAUGUAAUGACUGAUUGGUUGAUCUCUGAGUGACA
rnacentral:snoRNA from 1 species